ACGCGGCGCUUCGACGGCUCGAACAGAAUCCAGCGCCAGUUAGGGGAUCCAAGGGGCCCCACGACCGGGAAGGGGCACGAGACUCUCGCGUCCCUCGCGCCCCUCGCGCGAGUCCCCCUGCCCCCGAGCGUCCCAGAGGCAUGGCCCGGGCUCACGUCGGCGGUCGGAGCGGCGUCCCGGGCUCCUCCGCGCGGCCCUGAGGUGAGGCGAGGCGCCGGGGUUGGCAUCUGGGUGUCGGCCCCCACCCCGCCCAGCCCGACCUGCCCGGGCCGUCCGGGGCUCUGUGCCCCGCGCCCCGACGCCGGCCGCCCGUUCCUACCUGCGGCCCGGGCUGCGCCGCCCGAAGCGGGCGCCGCGCGGGCAGCUCGGCCGCUCCGGUGCGCUCCGGGCUCGGGCCGCGCUGCGCUCCCGGCUCCUCCGCUCCUCGGCUCCUCCGCUCGGCGCGGCUCGCCCGCAACCUCGCUCGGUCUUCCGAGGGCGGGCGGAGGCACGCGGGGAAGGGGCAGGGCGGGGGAGCGAGGGAGCGAGGGAAGGAGGGCGGGAGCGCGCGCGGGCGGGGGGGGCGGGGCGCUGCUCCGGGAGCCCGCCCAGCCCGGGGAGGGGCGCCGCCCGCCGCCCGCCCCCCGCCCGCGCUACCCCCGGCCCGCGCCGCGCGCUCCCCACGCGGCCGCCGCCCCGCGGCCUCCCCGCCGGCAGCUUCCACCGCUGGCCGUCGCCACUCUCUCUGCCUUCCCCUCCUCUGCCCCGUUCUCUGUCCAUCCCGACUUCCAGUUCUCCCCUCUCCUUCUCCCCGUCUCCUUUCCUUCUCUCCCUCCUCCCUCCCUCCCUCCCCCUGCCAGCCCACCCCCCAUGUCUCCCCCCCCCCCCCACCCCCCCCCCCCCCCCCGCCUCCCGCUCCCUUCUCCCCCUCCUCCUCCUCCCAUUCCUUCCCUCCUGCUCCUUCGGUCUGUUGGCCUCUUCCCUGCCUUGGCCUGGGGUCCUCAGCCUGCCUGUGUUGGUCUCUGUUUCCCAGUCCCUUUCAACCCGUAUUUCCCUCUUGGCUUUUCUCUUUCCAGCCUUACAGUCUGCUUCUGUUGGUCUGUCCUUUUUGUUUUUCUCUGGCACCCACUUCUCUCUGUAGGUCAUAAGGCCCGGCCAUUGUGGGUGGCGGUGAUGGUGGACUCCUACCCCUCCUCUGCUCUCCCCCCAGGGCAGCCUCCCGCGCUGUUAGGAGGGGACCACAACUUCUGA
rnacentral:lncRNA from 1 species